AGAAUUAGCAAUAGUUCUUAGUGGCGAACGGGUGAGUAACGCGUGGGUGACCUGCCCCGAAGUGCGGGAUAACAGCUCGAAAGGGCUGCUAAUACCGCAUGGAGUGCGUGCUGUUAGAGAACACGCAUCAAAGGCGAAAGCCGCUUUGGGAGGGGCCUGCGUCCCAUCAGCUGGUUGGUAAGGUAACGGCUUACCAAGGCGACGACGGGUAGGGGGCCUGAGAGGGUGACCCCCCACACUGGCACUGAAACACGGGCCAGACACCUACGGGUGGCAGCAGUAGGGAAUAUUGCACAAUGGGCGCAAGCCUGAUGCAGCAACGCCGCGUGCGCGAUGAAGGCCUUCGGGUCGUAAAGCGCUUUUCUGGAGGACGAGGAAGGACGGUACUCCAGGAAGAAGGCUCGGCUAACUACGUGCCAGCAGCCGCGGUAAAACGUAGGAGCCUAGCGUUAUCCGAAUUCACUGGGCGUAAAGCGCGUGCAGGCGGUUCGGUAAGUUGGAUGUGAAAUCUCCUGGCUCAACUGGGAGAGGACGUUCAAGACUGUCGGACUAGAGGACGGUAGAGGAAGGUAGAAUUCCCGGUGUAGUGGUGAAAUGCGUAGAUAUCGUGAGGAAUACCAGUGGCGAAGGCGGCCUUCUGGGCCGUUCCUGACGCUCAGACGCGAAAGCUAGGGGAGCAAACGGGAUUAGAAACCCCGGUAGUCCUAGCCGUAAACGAUGUAGACUUGGUGUCGGUGGGGUAAAAGCCAGCGGUGCCGAAGCCAACGCGAUAAGUCUACCGCCUGGGGACUACGGCCGCAAGGUUA
rnacentral:rRNA from 1 species